AGUCGUAACAAGGUAACCGUAGGUGAACCUGCGGUUGGAUCAUUAAUGAAAUGUUUCUUAACCGGGGGAUGGAGGGCGCAAGCCCUUUAUUCUCUCACACACCUGGGCUCGGCGGAAACGCUGAGUCCAUACCAUACACACAAAGACCUUGUUUAAGGACAUGACCAUUGCUUGCAGUGGGACAUUGACUGUAAAUAAACACAACUUUUGACAACGGAUCUCUUGGCUCUC
rnacentral:misc_RNA from 1 species